GGCAGCCCGGGGCGGUGGCGCCGGCGACAGCUCUGCGCCGCGGCCCUCGGAACCGUCCGACCCCCCAGCGGGAGCGCGGGCUGAGCGGCCGCUCGCGGGCUCCGCGCUCGGCGCCUGCGCGCCUGGCCUCGCCCAGAUGAUUGACACUGAGGCCAUAAAUAAUUAAUCCGGCAGCUGUUAAUGUCUUGGCAUAGCGUCCGGAGUAAAUAUCUUCGAGUCCAGCCAAAGCCAGUGCUGCUUCCGGGGUGGAUUUGAGAUCUGAUGAACGCGCACCGACCGUAUUCUGGAGCAUUCUGGAGCCUUCUGAAGGAGCAGCUUGUAUUUUUUUUUUUUAUCCACCUUGGAAUGUCAGGUUAUUGCAGGCGCCAGCGCACCUGAGGUAACCAGCGUAAGAAGGGACAUUAAUCUGACUGAUGAUCUUUAUAUUUUUAGACUCCAAAUAUCUUCUGGCUGGGCUGGCUCACUCCACUAAGGGACAGAGCCUCACUGGUAUGUUUAUUAUUACUACUGCCUCUGUUCGAAAUGACCACAGGAGGCAAGCAGCAAAAUUCAUAACCCCCAAAGAACACCAAGAACUGUAAUUGCUUGAAGAGUUCUUUUAAAAAUUAUGGUCUUAACAUCUCUUCCUGUCCAUGAAGGUUAUACUGAAAGUAAGCAUUUUAUGAGCCCCGAGAAUGAAGGCCAGCAGGAAACUCCCUGAAAGCACCCAGCUUCCAGGCCCUGGCACUUGAGAGCUGAAAGCACUGUGGUUGCCUCAGCUGCUGCUGACCUCAAGAGUUAGCAUUCCCAGAAAUCUAAGGUGCAGGUUGAGAGGAGGGCCCUGGAGGCCUCCAGCCAACACACCUUUGACUGUACUUGGAGGGGAAAAAAAUGGAACAAGCCCUAUGGACCGCAGCACCUGUGAACAGCGCUCCCCGUGGCUUGCACAGUUUAGCAGGAUGUGCAUUUUUUUUAAUGUCCUGCAGUCUGCAACUAUAUCCUUCCCUCCUCCCUGUCUAUUUUUAAUCACUUAUAGCUAAGACGUAUGGUAGAAAAUAAUUUGAGGGUUGCAUAUCCUAACAACAGUGAAAGAAGCAUAAAAUAUUUGCAGAGUCUCAUUUUUUUUUUUUUUUAGGAGACAAAGAACUGUGCCCUUAGUCAAAGCAAGAUAAAAGCUUCUAGAAGUCCAUGUCCAAAAACACUCCCUAUACCUACCUUUCCAGAAUUACACUUCAACAUGAAAACAACUGCGGAGUAAAAGAAGAGCCUUGAAAUACACUCCAUAGAUUUGGCCCACGUAGCUUCCAUCAACACAGCAGCUGAGGAUGUCAGAAAAUCCCAUCUACACCUGUCACACGGAUUCCCCCUGCUUUGCUGUGAUCUGGCUACUGAUGUCACCGUAACAUGGAUGCCUGAAGUUCUCACCAAUGUAUUUGGUAAAGGCAUUAACUUACGAUCCUGUUUUGUUUUGUGAAAGUACAAGUUCAAGUAAGUACUUCCAUGGAAGUAUCUGGAAGAUGUCAUCCAGGGAAACUGAACCCAUGUUCCUGGGCUGUACUCACUCAUAUUUGGCUCAGAAAAACAAACAAACAAAAAUAAAACAAAACAAUUUUUAAAACGCUUAUUCUCUGUGGAGCACGAGAUGCAUUUCUGCAAAUCCUAGCUCUUUUGUUUCCUUAUGAUUUCCACAACUUAUGAGAAAUUAGUGAAAUCUGUGCCUUAGAGGCUGUGCUCUUUAGAGCCCUAACUCAGAUUCAGCAAAAAGAAAAUAUUUAUUAAAAAUAAUUUGUAUGAAUUGUCAUUUUUAUUUAGCUACAUUGAUUUAUCGGGAGCAGGCACAAGUGUUGUGCAUGUGGAGACCAGAGGGCGACCUGCGGGAGCUGGUCUUCUUCUCUACCGUGUGGGUUACAGUUGGAAACAACUUUUCCCACUGCGCCACACAGGAGCCCGCUUGAUUUAACUAAGGGUCUCUGCCCAUUCAAGACAGACGAUGGUGACCUGUAACAAACAGUUCUGUGGUUUUAUGGGCCAAGUAGUUUUCAGUGUCCUUUUCUCAAACAUUCACUUAAAAAAUUAAAACAUUGUUCGACCUUUAAGGUCCACGUGUUGGCUUUUUACUCAGAAGUUCCAGCUUGACCUGCACAUUUAUCGCUACACCAGUCAAUAAAUAAAGUGUAGAAGAGUUUGUUUUAGAUGGAAAUCUUAAAGUUAUUUCUGCCGUGUCGGUUUGUGUUUCUUAUUUUUGAAUCUAACUUCAUUAUCUUUUAAAUCUGACUCUACUGUCUGUAUUCAGAAGAUGAAGACAGAAAACAAACUGUUAAACCUCAGCCUUUUUUUCUGAGCCAAGUUGUUCUCUUUUUCUUCCUGUCUUGGAGGUUGUUUUGAUAUGAAUCAUUAGUAUUCUUUGGAAAGUAGUUGUCCUCUGGGCCUAUAAUUAUAUUUUAACUGGAGAUUGGGUUUCUUUUCAUCCUUUUUUCUUUAAUUCAAUGCUCUUAGCAGAGAAAGGCCACAUAAAUUUCUUGCUCACUCACUGAACCCUUCCUAUUUACAGAUUAUGAUUUACAUAAAUGUUUAUGUUAACUGUCUCAGUAUUCUUCCUAAGUAUUUUCUGAACUCUGUUUUUACUCUUUCCUCAUUAAAAAUGUAUUUUCUUGAGCAGUCCUGGAAUUGGUGCUGGACGGUAACACUCUUGUCCCCUCUCUGAAGUGGUAAUAGCUUCUCUGUCCAGAGGUGAUCAGUAUUAUAAAAAGAUUCCUUCUGGACCCUAACUACAGCUUUGCAACAGUACCUCUUGCUCUGCUUCUGUUUCUUUGAAAACCAAGCCAGCACAGUCCUGAGUCCUGACACGAAGUUUGCAAAAUUUCACAAUACCACCUAAACC